rnacentral:rRNA from 1 species
GAUCAUGGCUCAGGAUGAACGCUAGCGACAGGCUUAACACAUGCAAGUCGAGGGGCAUCAUGGUAAGUAGCAAUACUUAUUGAUGGCGACCGGCGCACGGGUGAGUAACGCGUAUGCAACUUACCUAUCAGAGGGGGAUAGCCCGGCGAAAGUCGGAUUAAUACUCCAUAAAACAGGGGUUCCGCAUGGGACUAUUUGUUAAAGAUUCAUCGCUGAUAGAUAGGACAUGCGUU